UGCAUUGAUUUACCUUCUUUCAGCAUGGGGAGUUUUGUGCAUAGUGUGCAACUUGGAGCAUGGCUUGAUGUGUUGGGCUUUGUUUUGGGACAGGAUCAAAGUAAACACUUUGGAUCAAAAGUUUCAGAUGACAUGUUUCACAGAUGCCAAGUCAGUGACUUUGCCAGAGUGCCAUGUGGAGACCCUGGUAUUACGAAUGCUGACUGUGAAGCUCUCAACUGCUGCUUUGAUCAACAGUGCUAUUCUUGAAGGCCGCAGUGACGGUAAAGCUACAAAUGCUGACCAAUCCAUAUAAUGAAGAAAUUGAAUUUCUCAGGAGGGAGGUCCAUUGUACCAGGGAAGCGUUCCAAGGAAAAGGCUGUAGUUUCCUAUAAGGCAGUGAUGGUAACCAAAUCAGAACUGACAGCCUUUGAUCAGAGGCUUCAUGUGUCACAAUCUCUUGGUUUUGGUCUCCUGGGAGUGGCUGCCUGUGUACUAGUCUCCACCCUGGCACUGGCUGUGUAUGUUAAACGAUCCCGUCUGGAACAGAAGGUGUGACUUAAAGAUAAAGCUCUUAUGGAAAAUAAUGUGGUCUGUCUUCCUGGUAAAGAACUGGGGCAUGUUGAUUCAGUUGGCAAAAUGCAGGGAUUGGAUGGUGGCUCUUCGGCCUCUUGCUGUAUAGGUACUGGGCCAUCAGGAUCUCUUGAUGGCCCAGUUUAAAUGUGUCACUAGCAAUCUUAGGGGAAAUUUUAACCUAGAAGUGGAUUCCACUGUCUGGACUGAUUAAUCCUACCUUUCGUUUUGUUAUUGGAAAUUUCAGUGACCAAUAUCCAAUAACAAAAUGUUUUGGGCCCAUGUUUAAGUGCUUGAAUGAUUCAUUUUUACACCAGCUUUGUGCUCCAUAAGCAACCAACCCUGAUAAACCACACCUCAUUCAGCGGCUACAAGAUCUUUGAGCUGCUGCUUAGACUCCAGUGUGCCAAAUUGAGAUUGAAAUGAAGACUUGCAAGACUCUAGAUCUGUAGGAACAGGGUUGGAUGGCACUGAUGCACACUAGAACAUCUGAUAAAUCAGUGGUGCCUAAUCUGUGUGCUAUGGAGGAGCGCUGGUUCUCCAACUUCUCUAAUCUUUCACUAACACUCCUUCAACCAGAGAUGGGAACCCUUUAGUGAAAUCAGCCAGUGUAGUGAUUGGUUGGAAUGAAAGCCUGUAUAAAC